rnacentral:rRNA from 1 species
GACGUAGGGCGCGAGCGUUGUCCGGAUUUAUUGGGCGUAAAGAGCUCGUAGGCGGCUUGUCGCGUCGUUCGUGAAAACCCGGGGCUCAACUCCGGGCUUGCGGGCGAUACGGGCAGGCUAGAGUUCGGUAGGGGAGACUGGAAUUCCCGGUGUAGCAGUGAAAUGCGUAGAGAUCGGGAGGAACAUCAGUUGCGAAGGCGGCUCUCUGGACCAGUACUGACGCUGAGGCACGAAAGCGUGGGGAGCAAACAGG